rnacentral:rRNA from 1 species
CCUACGGGGGACAGCAGUGGGGGAUAUUGCACAAUGGGGGAAACCCUGAUGCAGCGACGCCGCGUGAGUGAAGAAGUAUUUCGGUAUGUAAAGCUCUAUCAGCAGGGAAGAAAAUGACAGUACCUGACCAAGAAGCCCCGGCUAACUACGUGCCAGCAGCCGCGGUAAUAAGUAGGGGGCAAGCGUUAUCCGGAUUUACUGGGUGGAAAGGGAGCGUAGACGGUUAUGUAAGUCUGGAGUGAAAGCCCGGGGCCCAACCCCGGGACUGCUUUGGAAACUGUGUAACUGGAGUACAGGAGGGGCAGGCGGAAUUCCUGGUGUAGCGGUGAAAUGCAUAGAUAUCAGGAGGAACACCGGCGGCGAAGGCGGCCUGCUGGACUGAAACUGACGUUGAGGCUCGAAAGCGUGGGGAGCAAACAGGAUUAGAUACCCGAGUAGUC